AAUAUACUCCCUUCAUCCCAAAAUUCUUGCCUUAAAUUUAUCUAAAUACAAAUGUAUCAAGUCAUAAGUCAUGUUUUAGUAUUAGGUACAUCUAUGCUUAAACAAAUUUAAGACCAGAAUUUUGAGACGGGAGGGAGUGUGUG
rnacentral:pre_miRNA from 1 species